rnacentral:rRNA from 1 species
UACAGAGGGUGCAAGCGUUGUUCGGAAUCAUUGGGCGUAAAGCGCACGUAGGCGGCUUUGCAAGUCGGGUGUGAAAGCCUGGGGCUCAACCCCAGAAGUGCAUUCGAAACUGCAGAGCUUGAGUCUUGGAGAGGGUGGUGGAAUUCCGAGUGUAGAGGUGAAAUUCGUAGAUAUUCGGAGGAACACCAGUGGCGAAGGCGACCACCUGGACAAAGACUGACGCUGAGGUGCGAAAGCGUGGGGAGCGAUCCGG